CAUUACCGAGUUUACAACUCCCAAACCCCUGUGAACAUACCAAUUGUUGCCUCGGCGGAUCAGCCCGCUCCCGGUAAAACGGGACGGCCCGCCAGAGGACCCCUAAACUCUGUUUCUAUAUGUAACUUCUGAGUAAAACCAUAAAUAAAUCAAAACUUUCAACAACGGAUCUCUUGGUUCUGGCAUCGAUGAAGAACGCAGCAAAAUGCGAUAAGUAAUGUGAAUUGCAGAAUUCAGUGAAUCAUCGAAUCUUUGAACGCACAUUGCGCCCGCCAGUAUUCUGGCGGGCAUGCCUGUUCGAGCGUCAUUUCAACCCUCAAGCCCCCGGGUUUGGUGUUGGGGAUCGGCGAGCCCUCGCGGCAAGCCGGCCCCGAAAUCUAGUGGCGGUCUCGCUGCAGCUUCCAUUGCGUAGUAGUAAAACCCUCGCAACUGGUACGCGGCGCGGCCAAGCCGUUAAACCCCCAACUUCUGAAUGUUGACCUCGGAUCAGGUAGGAAUACCCGCUGAACUUAAGCAUAUCAAUAA
rnacentral:rRNA from 1 species